rnacentral:lncRNA from 1 species
AAAGUGGGAAGUGUGAGUCCUCAGUCUUGGGCUAUUCGGCCACGUGCCUGCCGGACAUGGGACGCUGGAGGGUCAGCAGCGUGGAGUCCUGGCCUUUUGCGUCCACGGGUGGGAAAUUGGCCAUUGCCACGGCGGGAACUGGGACUCAGGCUGCCCCCCGGCCGUUUCUCAUCCGUCCACCGGACUCGUGGGCGCUCGCACUGGCGCUGAUGUAGUUUCCUGACCUCUGACCCGUAUUGUCUCCAGAUUAAAGGUACGACAUUUGGAGGCCCCAGCGAGAAACGUCACCGGGAGAAACGUCACCGGGCGAGAGCCGGGCCCGCUGUGUGCUCCCCCGGAAGGACAGCCAGCUUGUAGGGGGGAGUGCCACCUGAAAAAAAAAUUUCCAGGUCCCCAAAGGGUGACCGUCUUCCGGAGGACAGCGGAUCGACUACCAUGUGGGUGCCCACAAAAAUUCCACCUCUGAGUCCUCAACUGCUGACCCCGGGGUCAGGUCCAGAUUUUGAACAAAUCUCGCUAGAGAUUGAACAGAGCUGCGCCUGGAUCCCGCCACAGUGAGGAGACCUGAAGACCAGAGAAAACACAGCAAGCCCCUGGAUCCUCCUGGAAUCCCCGAUCCCUCUUGCUCCCUGGCAGAGUUUUCUAGUCCCUCUUACUUGAAGCAUGUCUUUCAGAGCCCGGCACCACCCAUCUUGAGUAUCUGCUCCUGCUGUCUUCCAUGCUGGGGACAGGAAAGGCUCCACGCUUGACUUUCCCUCCUGUUUUCUUAUCUGCUGUCAACCCCUGAAUGUACCCUCCAGGAUUGCCUUCUAGACCUUCUACAUCUAGCUCGAUCAUUGUGCACCCACCUUCCUCCCAGGGACUGUCCUUAGGGAGUGACUUUAUGCACAAACUUCACAUGCUCUUCCUGCCUCCUUCAUCCCCAUAAGCCCCCAUCUCAGCCCCAUCUGAUUAUUUCUUCCCUGUCUCAUUUCCUGUUAUGCUGUUGGUUUUCUAACCUGAAGGGUAACUUCUUACUCCUUAGUUUUUUGCCUUAAUUUCUAAGUCAUAGGCUACUUUCAGGCUAAAAGUUUUCCUCCAGCCAUGGUUUUAGUCUCAUUCUAUAAGUCUUGCUAGGUAGUUUAUUCAUUGGAAAUUUUUUGUUUUUGAGACAGAGUCUCGCUCUGUCACCCAGGCUGUAGUACAGUGGUGCCAUCUCAGCUCACUGCAACCUCCGGUUCCCGGGCUCAAGCAGUUCUCUUUCCUCAGCCUCCUGAGUAGCUGGGAUUAUGGGUGCCUGCCACCACACCCAGCUAAUUUUUGUAUUUUUAGUAGAGACGGCAUUUCACCAUGUCAGCCAGGUUGGUCUCGAACUCUUGACCUCAAGUGAUCCGCCCACCUUGGCCUCCCAAAAUACUGGGAUUACAGGGGUGAGUCACCACACCCCACCCCUUGGCACUAUAUUUAAGUGAUGAUAUUUUUGGACACUGAGGUAGCCUCAUUCCACAGGUUUAGAUCUGAAGCAUUUUCACUAUUGCUUCUUUCCAUGUAUUUCCUGGUUUGCAGGUCAGUUUCUUCUUUUAAUUCAUCAUUGACACAGUGGUUUAUAUGGCUUUUAAUUUCAAAAGAUUUUUUAAAAUAUCUUUUUGCCGAUUUUUAUCUAUGUUAAUUUUAACUAGACAUGUUCCCUGGAAGGA